rnacentral:rRNA from 1 species
UAGUCCACGCCGUAAACGAUGUCUACUAGCCGUUGGAGGGCUUGACCCUUUAGUGGCGAAGCUAACGCGAUAAGUAGACCGCCUGGGGAGUACGGUCGCAAGAUUAAAACUCAAAUGAAUUGACGGGGGCCCGCACAAGCGGUGGAGCAUGUGGUUUAAUUCGAUGCAAUGCGAAAAACCUUACCAGGCCUUGACAUCCUGAGAAUUCGGUAGAGAUACCUUAGUGCCUUCGGGAACUCAGUGACAGGUGUUGCAUGGCUGUCGUCAGCUCGUGUCGUGAGAUGUUGGGUUAAGUCCCGUAACGAGCGCAACCCUUAUCCUUAUUUGCCAGCACGUAAUGGUGGGAACUCUAAGGAGACUGCCGGUGACAAACCGGAGGAAGGAGAGGAUGACGUCAAGUCAUCAUGGCCCUUACGGCCUGGGCUACACACGUGCUACAAUGGGCAGUACAGAGGGCCGCGAAGCCGCGAGGUGGAGCAAAUCCCGAAAAACUGUUCGUAGUCCGGA